GACGAACGCUGGCGGCGUGCCUAAUACAUGCAAGUCGAACGCUUCUUUCCUCCCGAGUGCUUGCACUCAAUUGGAAAGAGGAGUGGCGGACGGGUGAGUAACACGUGGGUAACCUACCCAUCAGAGGGGGAUAACACUUGGAAACAGGUGCUAAUACCGCAUAACAGUUUAUGCCGCAUGGCAUAAGAGUGAAAGGCGCUUUCGGGUGUCGCUGAUGGAUGGACCCGCGGUGCAUUCGCUAGUUGGUGAGGUAACGGCUCACCAAGGCCACGAUGCAUAGCCGACCUGAGAGGGUGAUCGGCCACACUGGGACUGAGACACGGCCCAGACUCCUACGGGAGGCAGCAGUAGGGAAUCUUCGGCAAUGGACGAAAGUCUGACCGAGCAACGCCGCGUGAGUGAAGAAGGUUUUCGGAUCGUAAAACUCUGUUGUUAGAGAAGAACAAGGACGUUAGUAACUGAACGUCCCCUGACGGUAUCUAACCAGAAAGCCACGGCUAACUACGUG
rnacentral:rRNA from 1 species